rnacentral:lncRNA from 10 species
AUUUGUGAGGAAUUUGGCAACGUUCAACCUGGGAUUGGCUACUAUGGAUUGAGACUCCAUUGCUUGGUUACAAAGGCAUACUCUUAGGUUAGGUUAGAACUUGCUUUCACGCCAAGCUGUGCUGCAGUUCACUACAUAGAGAGAAACUUUGGCCCAAAUUUUAUUAACCAAAUAUGGAAGGUGCUUUGAGCUAAACUUAAAUAAGUUUAACAUAUGAUUCAGGGCCAGGUGUGGUGGCUCACGCCUGUAAUCCAAGCACUUUGGGAAGCCAAGAGUUCGAGACCAGCCUGGCCAACAUGGCAAAUCCCCAUCUCUACUAAAAACACAAAAAUUAGCUGGGCAUUGUGAAGGGGGCCUGGCUAAGGCAGGAGAAUCGCUUGAACCCAAGAGGCAGAGGUUGCAGUGAGCUGAGAUAGUGCCACUGCACUCCAGCCUGGGCAACACAGUGAGACUCCAUCUCAAAAUAUAUGUAAAUAAAUAUAAAUAUAAAUAUAAAUAUAUAUAUGAUUCAGGAAUACCUGAAGUUCUACACAUUAACCAGUCUCUUGGGAGUGAGGAGCACUUUUCUUGGAAGGAAAUAGCUGCCCUCCAGUAUUUGGUAACAGUCUGCACAGGUUUGUAGCCUAGGAGCAAUAGGCGAUACCAUAUAGCGUAGGUUAUGUAGUAGGGUCCUUCAUCUUUGUUUGUGUAAGUACACUCUGUAAUGUUUGCACAAGGAUAAAAUCGCCUACGGACGAAUUCCUGGGGAUGCGUCAUCAAGCGAGGCAUAGCUGUGGUUUCUUACCUGCUUUCUCUGUGGCUUCCACCUUCCAUCCGUAAGGCUACUUUCCACAGAGUACACAGAGUCAUCUUUUUAAUAUGCCGAAUUACAUAAUUCUAUGCUAAACCCUCCGAAGAUUUCCCAUUCCUCUUAGUACGUCAGUGACGGUAGAUAUUGAGACCACCCGAUGGAAGAAGAGCGCGUAGGAUGUGUUCUGUGACCUACAUGCCUAUGUCCAAGAUAACAAAGGACGAUUUGGGAAUAUCUCCCAGGCUAAGGGGAAAAACGUUCAUAUCUUUGGACCUAGAGAUGCCUGCUGUAUAUAUUGUCAUGCCUCUCACAGAGGGAGCAUAAACUUCUCACUCCAUUGACAUCACUCCUGUCUACAUGAUUUGCUUUGGCCAUGGAAAGUGAGUGGAUAUGAUAUAUGCCAUAACUGAGCAGAAGUUUGAAAGCCUAGAUUGGUUUUGCCAUUUUUUUUUCCUCUGCCACAAGAUAGAAAAAGAAGUUGCCUCUUCAGCCUCAACCCUAGAAUAUAAAUGACAUAGAUUCAACCUGAAGUCAAAUAUCAGCUGACAUAUAUGUAAGCAAGAAAUAUUGUCAUUGUAAGCCUGAAAUAUUGCUGUUGUUUUUUUUAACCAGAGCAAAACCUGGUAUCAGCUAAUGGAAAACCAAUAUUCACUAUCUCUAUACUCAGAAUAAACUCUAGUUAACUUGGCUGUCCUCCUUUCCAAACUGUACAAAUGUUUGAAAUUUCUAAUAUAUUUGAAAGUAUGUAUUUUCUUAUGUUGUUUGCCAACUGUAUUACAUGGUCCUCUCUCAAGAUGUAUGUUAAACAGCUUCAUGCCAUAUCAUAUACAUUUUUAAAAAUUGGAGUAAAACUUACAUGAAAAAUUAACCAAUUUACCCUGUACAAUUCAGUGGUAUUUAGUACAUUAACCAUAUUGUGAAACUACUACCUCUGUCUAGCUCCAAAGAAUUCUCAUCAAUUCUAGUCCCAGUUUCCAUUGGGAAUUCUCAUCAUUCCCAAUGGAAACCUCAUAUCCGUUAGGUAAUAAUGCCCUAUCCCCCUUACCCCCUUUCACCUAGAAACCACUAAUCUGCUUUCUGUCUCUAUGGUUUUAUCUUCUUUAGAUGUCAUAUAAAUACAAUUGUACAAUAUUUGAUUUGUUUGUGGCCUCUUUCAGGUAGCACGUUUUUGAGAUACAUCUACAUUGUAGCAUGCAUCAGAACUUUCUUUUUAUUGCUGAAUAAUACUCCAUUUUAUAGAUACACCUUAUUUUGUUUAUUUGGGUUGUUUUCACCUUUUACCUCCUGUGAAUAGUGCUGCUAUGAACAUUUGUGUACAAAUGUGUGAGAACCUGUUUUCUAUUCUAUUGAUUAUAAACUGGGAAUAUAAUUGCUGAGUCAUGUGGCAAUUCUGUGGCUUUUUGAGAAACCAUGUAACUGUCUUCCACAAUGGUUGUACCACUUUACAUUUCUACCAACAGUGUAUGAAGGUUCCAGUUUCCCCGCAUCCUUGCCAAUACUCACUGUUCACCUUUUAUUUUUUAAUUCUAGGCUUUCCAGUGGGUGUGAUAUAGCAUCUCAUUGUGGUUUUGGUUUGCACUUUUCUAACAAUUAACAAGGUUAAACAUCUUUUUAUGUGCUUGUGUGCCAUUUUUAUGUCUAGGAAAAUAUCUAUUCCAGUUCUUUGCCCAUAUCUAAUUAGUUUAUUAUUAUUUUUAUAGAGACAGGAGGGUCUUGCUAUGCUGCCCAGCCUGGUCUCAAACCCGUGAGCUCAAGGAAUCCACCCACCUGGCCUCCCAAAGUGCUGGGAUUACAGGCAUGAGCCACCACGUCUGGCCUCUUUGCCCAUUUCUUAACAGAACUCUUUUUUGCCCCAACUCUAAUCUGUUUACAAAGUUAGCAGUGGCUUGUUUAUUCGCCUUUCAGUGUUAUUGAGAAAUGCCCUCAGCACAGCCAGUUUUCUACCUUGAGAAAGUUCUGAAAUAGGCAAAACAAAAGAGAGUGUUUUACCUUAGUCCCUCAGGGAGCUCCCUGACAGGUCAAAACAGAAAAACAUAAUUACAUUAGACAAAGUUCUGCUCUGCUCCUGCUGGAGUCUUGAACCCACAAUGAGAAUGUAAGCUUUUGUUUUAAGACCACCACAAAUCCAUGGAGGGUGCUGGAACUUGGCCAAAGAAAAUGUAGCCAAGUUCUGCCACGAUUAAGUCACUUUUCCCUUGAUUCAGCAUUAGCUUGGUUACUGUACACUUUGGGCUAUUUUUCAUAGUUCCAACACAGUUCUUUCUGAGAGUUUGGCUUUUUUUUUCUAAUAUCCCAUGAUACAUAUAUAUACUUUUAAGUAAUUGUCUCCACUGCUGGAGGAUAACAACAUAGGGUUGUUAUCCAAAUAUCCUUAAUGUAUUUAAAACCAUUUCUGAAGAUACAUAAUGUUUGAAAGCCGUUGAUUCCUGCUUGACUGGUGAAAAUGACAAUGAAAUAGUUUAUUUCUUCUUAAUGAGUAAUCCCAGCACUUUGGGAGGCCAAGGCAGGCAGAGCAUGAGGUCAGGAGUUCAAGACCAGCCUAGCCAACAUGGUGAAACUCCGUCUCUACUAAAAAUACAAAAAUUAGCCGGGUGUGGUGGUGGUAGCUGUAAUCCCAACUACUCGGCAUGCUGAGGCAGGAGAAUCACUUGAACCCAGGAGGCAGAGGUUGCAGUGAGCUGAGAUCGCGCCAUUGCACUCCAGCCUGGGCAACAGAGAAAUACUCAGUGUUGGGAAAAAAAAAAAAAGAGGUACCCAUUUAUUUAGAAGGAAGUAGCAGGUACCAAAAAAAAAACAUUAUUUGCUGGUUGGUAAAGUUCAUUAAUUGACUUGCUCUACAUUGUUUUAUGUUUCCAAACCAGAGAGUCCUCCAAUAAACCUGUUUAAGAAAAAUACCAAAAAACUCCAGUAACACACAACAACAAAAAGCAAAACUUAACUCAUACUUGCUUCUUGGAAAGAACCCCCUUUAAGACUAGAUCAAUGCCACAGUCAAACUCAUAUAAGCAAGGAAUAUAAUUGUGGUUGUCAGGGGCUGGGAGGUGGAAAUGGAAAUAGGCCAGGUAAGGUUGUUCACAGGGAGGCAGAGGUGGGAGGACUUCUUGAGCCCAAGAGUUCAAGACCAUCCUGGGCACCAUAAUGAGACCUUGCCUCUACAAAAAACAGCAACAACAACAACAACAACAACAACAAAAUUAAAAUUAGCUAUGCAUGGUGGUGCAUGCUUGUAGUCCCAGCUAUUCAGGAGGCUAAUGUGAAAGGAUCACUUGAGCCCAGGAAGUUGAGGCUAGGGUGAGCCAUGAGCCAUGAUUACACCACUGUGCUCCAGCCUGGGUGACAGAGUGAGACUCUGUCUCAAAAACAAACAAACAAACAAACAAACAAAACCACGAAAUAGAGAUGAAAAGAAAACCAAUGACAUGAUUAGAUUUGCUUAAUUUUUACAAGGAAUGUUUGUGUAAGGUAAAGUAAGAAGGAAUAAACAUAAUAACCAAAGUUUCUUCUGAAAAUGAGUCAUAUUUAUUUGGAGGCACUAAUUACUGGAUUGGACUGGGUUUAUAGGUUUGAAGAUUUCUUAAUAGGAAACAUAUUUUGAAAUACAUAUAUAUAUAUAAAAAGUCACAUGAUCCUUUUCCUUUUAUGGUAUACCCUAUGCUUUUUAAUAAGGCAAAGUUAAAUUAAUGAUUUUUUAUUUUAAAAAUAGGAGACAAUUCUGUUAUAUUGUGUGAUUAGAUAUGACCAUUAAAGUUGACUCUGCAAACUUUGUUCUAUAAUAGUAAAUGGACAUUUUUGGGGGCUUAGUAUAAGGGUAGUGGUUGUCUGGGACAAAUAUUUCACACAUGGGUAGCUUAUAGGCUACAGCUAUUUUUAAUCUGCCUAAACAUCUGUAAUAUACUCAAGUGUAUGCCAUCUGUUUUUUUUGUUGUUGUUGUUCUAUAGUCUCAUAAUAUUUAUUAGAAUAAAUUGUAUUGAAUAAUUGCACAGUUAACCUUGUUAUAUUUUUGGAUGUACUUGCCUUUCUGAAGCCAACAGCCAAUGUAAUGGAUUAAUAGGAGGCAUUAGCCAAGGUUAAAGAGUUAUUACUAUAUGUAGCACACUGGCCAUUUAAAAGCCUGGCAAAGGGCCUCUAGAGGAAACAUGAAUUGUGUGAUGUUAUCUUCCUAGUCUACAUUCCACUAUGGAUAUCAAUCUAGAAAAUCCCAUAAUUUUCUUCAGGUUCAAUUUUUUUUUUUCAGCAAAUCACUACAAUUUCAUCAGUAAAAUUUGUUGAGUUUUUUGGGAGCAAAAGCCUACCAAAAGUGAAAGAAUCAUAUAAUCGUAGAGUUGUAAGGAACCUUAAGAUCCCUUGGCAAAUCACACCAUUUUUGGGGGGAAGAGUGUGAGGAGAAUGGUGAAGAAAUUGAGUCUGGGAGAGGUUCUCUUUAUGAUGAUAGAUUUGUAGUAAAAGUAGUAAUAUUAAAAAUCAAUUUUAAAAGUAGGAAUUUAGAAAAAAAGUCAUGAGUACCUCAAUAAUGUAUUUUCAUGGAAGAAGCCAGUGAUUUUGGAGGUAACACUGUGACUUGAGGGGAUGGAUUUUAAAGAGUUAUUUGAAAGAAAGAGCCACUGAUAGAAGGAGAGGAAAACAGCACCAUGUUAGGAAGGUAAACAAGAAAAACUACAAAU